UACGAAGGGGGCUAGCGUUGCUCGGAAUCACUGGGCGUAUAGCGCACGUAGGCGGCUUUUUAAGUCAGAGGUGAAAUCCUGGAGCUCAACUCCAGAACUGCCUUUGAUACUGGAGAGCUUGAGUCCGGGAGAGGUGAGUGGAACUGCGAGUGUAGAGGUGAAAUUCGUAGAUAUUCGCAAGAACACCAGUGGCGAAGGCGGCUCACUGGCCCGGUACUGACGCUGAGGUGCGAAAGCGUGGGGAGCAAACAGG
rnacentral:rRNA from 1 species